rnacentral:tRNA from 1 species
GCCCCCAUAGCUCAAUUGGAAGAGCAGCUCCCUUUUAAGGAGAAGGUUUUGUAGGUUCGACUCCUACUGGGGGCACAA